rnacentral:rRNA from 1 species
AGAGUUUGAUCCUGGCUCAGGAUGAACGCUAGCUACAGGCUUAACACAUGCAAGUCGAGGGGAAACGACAUCGAAAGCUUGCUUUUGAUGGGCGUCGACCGGCGCACGGGUGAGUAACGCGUAUCCAACCUGCCCACCACUUGGGGAUAACCUUGCGGAAAGUAAGACUAAUACCCAAUGACGUCUCUAGAAGACAUCUGAAGGAGAAUUAAGAUUUAUCGGUGAUGGAGUGGGGUAUGGCGUCGUGAUUAGUCGUUGGUUGGCGGGGUAACGGCCCACCAACGGCGGACGAUACGUAGGUAGGGGUUCUUAGGAGAGGGAACGGUCCCCCACAGUUGGUAACUGAGACCGACGG